rnacentral:rRNA from 1 species
UACGGAGGGUGCAAGCGUUAUCCGGAUUUACUGGGUUUAAAGGGUGCGUAGGUGGGUUGGUAAGUCAGUGGUGAAAUACUUUCGCUUAACGAAGGAACUGCCAUUGAUACUACCAGUCUUGAAUACAGUGGAGGUAGGCGGAAUGCGUCAUGUAGCGGUGAAAUGCUUAGAUAUGACGCAGAACACCAAUUGCGAAGGCAGCUUGCUACACUGUUAUUGACACUGAGGCACGAAAGCGUGGGGAUCAAACGGG